GACGAACGCUGGCGGCGUGCUUAACACAUGCAAGUCGAACGGAAAGGCCCUGCUUUUGUGGGGUGCUCGAGUGGCGAACGGGUGAGUAACACGUGAGUAACCUGCCCUUGACUUUGGGAUAACUUCAGGAAACUGGGGCGAAUACCGGAUAGGAGCUCCUGCUGCAUGGUGGGGGUUGGAAAGUGUCGGCGGUUGGGGAUGGACUCGCGGCUUAUCAGCUUGUUGGUGGGGUAGUGGCUGACCAAGUCUUUGACGGGUAGCCGGCCUGAGAGGGUGACCGGCCACAUUGGGACUACGGUACGGCCCAGACGCCAACGGGAGGCAGCAGUGGGGAAUAUUGCGCAAUGGGCGGAAGCCUGAUGCGGCAACGCCGCGUGCGUGAUGACGGCCUUCGGGUUGUAAACCGCUUUCGCAUGUGACGAAGCGUGAGUGACGGUAAUGGGUAAAAAAGCACCGGCUAACUACGUG
rnacentral:rRNA from 1 species